rnacentral:lncRNA from 1 species
AUCUCAAAACUCUAUUAAAACUCAUAAAUCUAUCAUUGAUCUAAUUAGAAGUUUCAAUACUAUAUAUUGAACUUUGCAUCAAUAAAAUUACAUCCAAAUAAUAUCAUUGAGCUAUAUAAUCGCUCAAAAUUGAACUUCAUAUGGUUAAAGGAUGAAUUCAUGAAGCUAGGGUUUCAAAACCAUCAUUAAAGCUUCUUAAACUCAAUUUUGACCAAGGAUCUAAACUUACCUCAAUGGAUUAAUGUGAGAAAAUUAUAAUUCAACAAUAAAAUUGAACUAAUCAUAAAUUUCACCAUCAAAUUUGGAUAUGAACAAGUUUAACAAAAUUUGAAAGCUUUAUUCACAAACGAAAUGGCAAAACAACUAUCUUACAAGCUUUUUUCUUCAUGUCUAAAUGAUAGAACAUCAAAGAAAUUCUUCAACUUCAUUUCUAAUAUACCAAUUCUCUUUCAAAUUAUGAUUUUGCCUCUCUCAACCCCUCGAUAUAUCUAACUUAGGAGAAGAGAAGAUUUGGAGGUUUUAGAUCCAUAUUUCACAAAUUAGCAAAACUAACAUUUUAACUUUCUUGUAUCUUAUCUUAAAACAAUAUUUGUAGUUAACAUUCAUAGUCUUAUAACUUCCACUUUAACCAUAGUGUGUCAAUAAUGAUUAUAAUAGAGUAUCAGUAAUGCACAAUAUACUUAUGAAACUGAAGGAUAGUUUUAUUUGUUUCAAAAAUAUAAUGAAAUUGGUUAUGGAAGAUGAUUGCAAUAUGUUUAGGAUUUUAUUCUGAUUAAUGUUGAUGUUAGUUGGAGACUUCAUUGUAAUCAGUAUAAUAUCCAUUAUACCUUGAAAACAUGAAAUUUCUAAUGAUUAUAAAAGUGACAAGUUAGAUAUUGACCCCUUAUUUUUCUCCAACAAAUAGACAUGAUUUUUUUGUUUCCUCAUGAAUUUAGGUUAUCUUUUUAACUUGGCUAUAUGUAUGUUCGUAUGUGUGUGUGUGUGUCUAUAGUUAUAAUAUUUAUGAUUAAUUUAGAACAUCCCAAAGGAUAUUACAAGUUCAUGCCCCGUAAUGUAGGAGAUGUCAAUUAAAAUUGAUUAUCAUAAUUGGUAUUCACACAAGUUGAUAUAGAUUUCUGCUAGACACCAACAAUUAAGAAAAAUUAAAGCAUCCCUCGCACAGAUUAGUUGAAAAUAGUUUUCAAGAAUUUUAUUUCAAAUUAAAAGUUAGGUUGAACACAAUAUGAUCCCAAAAUUAUAGUGUUAAAAGAGUAAAAUAUUGCAAGGUAUUGUAACAAUUAUAACAACAAAGUUAAUACUACAAUCUAGUACAAGUCAAAUUCUUAUUAAAUACCAUGUUUAACUCUUGUAUCCUCGGUUUCCCUACUCUUAAUACAUGUCGAAAGUAUAACGUUAGACUUUAAAAAUAUAAUGUACUUGUAACGUCCCAAAAAUAGCUGAAAAAAUUUCAGUUUUAAAUCAUUGAAUCCAUACAAGCGUUUGUUCCAAAACCAAUUAGAGUGAAUUGUAUUUAUCAACUUCAGAAUAAAAUAUUAAUAAUUAGUGCAGAAAAAGUCAUAAAGGAUGUUGUGUAGUCAAGUUGGGCCCUUCCCUUUGAAACUGGAUGUACCUAGAAAAAUGUUUAACCAUAAGCCGUAAGCACAAAGCUUAGUGAGUUCCCACAAAAUGCCACAUACCAUACAUGCAUUUCCAUAGGCUACCCCCAUGGUCUUCUCCUGAAAUGACAUGGGUUGCAACCAUGGUCUAUCCUUGAAAUGCCAUGGGCUACCCCCAUGGUCUAACAUCCAAGUGUCAUGGGCUGCCCUCAUGGUCUUUCAUGCAAAUGUCAUGGGCUACCCCUUUGGUCUUUCAAGCAAAUGUCACGAGCUAGCCCCAAGGUCUUCCAUGUAAGUAUCACAAAGACAACUAGAAUCAUACACAGUAUAGUGAGAAGACUCACCUAACUCAUGAAAUUAGAUAAACCACAGCUCAAUGCCCCAUAACAGAUGCUACAACACUCCUAUCAAAAAAAUACAAGGUCCAAUCUUUAUCUACACCAUGAAUCCAAUAAUCUUGACCAAAAGUCAACCCAAGUCAACAAGUCAACGAUCCAAGGUCAACCCUCAAAUUUAACAACCCGAAAACUACCUUAGCAAAUAGCCACGUCGUGGCCUUCCAUUGGACAUGUUGUGGCAACAUAAAUACAAAACAAUCGAGUACCCUAUCAUUCGCCACGGCGUGGCAGCCAAAGUGACACAGCGUGGUAACUGGGUCUUAACUGGUUAAUUGAUCAAGUUGUUUUCAUUUUCCUUAAGAACUCCAAAACUCCAAUCUGAUACACCCCAAGUUCUUAAUGGAUAAAGUUUCCAACAUUAUCCCUUAAGUCAUCCUAAUAAGCCAAAACUUCUAACCCUAAUUCCUUAAUGACAUCUUAAGACAUGAGUUAACCCAUUAAGCUCUUAACCAAACAAGUCACCCAAAUAAACUUUCCAUAAGAUCUUUAUACCUAAAAUACACCAUAAAACAUGUGCUUUAUGGACAUGCAUGUCUGUUGCAUGUCUCACCCAAAAUAGGUCAAAACCAAGGAAGAAAAAGGGCUCAAACUUGUGCAUAAGGCCAAAUACACCAAGGAACACUAGAUGUGGAACACAUAACUUCAGUUGGACCUCAAGGAUCCAUAAAGUUGCCAACCUUAUGGAAUCCAUUCCUUCAAACUCUCACAACAUGAAGAAAAGAGAUAAGAACGCUAGAUAUAGAAAAACAAACUAUAAAGCUUGGAACUUGAAUACUUACAAGGGUCCAGAAUAUGAUCAAGAUGGUGAUGAUGUAGUUUAACUGUUGGAUCAAGGCACCAAAACAUCUUCUUCUUAUUCUUCAAUGCACCAAGAAUACCAAAAUGAACCAAAACUCUCUAAGGGAGGCUAAGGUUUGAGGUAGAGGGUUGGAGGCGAAAGAGGAUGCCCUAAUCCUCUGCAAAUGUUGCUUAAAUAUGGGAGGAAACCGUAAAAAUACAGGCUUGGUACAGAACAGCUCCCACAUCGUGGCCAACCCACUGCCACGUCGUGACACUCAUUAAAAGUGUUGGGUUUUCUAUGCAUCAAAUACACUCUAAACUAGGUAGCAGAAAAAUAAAAACUAUGAUAUACCUAAGUGUACAUGCAACCUAUGGAUCUAUAGUUUCUUGCUAAUUACAUCCACCCUAGAAAAAUAAAAUAGAAAGAAGAAAAACAUACAUCUUUUGUAACCCUUGAUCUCCAUGCUUGAGAUCAUGUCCUCCACGAAGUUGCUUGGAUGAGAGGACUCAACCCGGCAUCCCUCUAAUGGUAUCACACCCAUUAACACCAAUGAAUAGAAAAAAAAUAACUAGAAGAAGGGUCAAUUUCACAAAUCCUAAGAGGGUUAGAAAUCGUACCUAAGAGGGGGAUGAAGAGGAGUUGGUGAAACUUCAAGCCAAGGUGCAAGGAUGAAUGAAAUCCCUAAGGCCCUAUUUAUUGUCUUGGAUUCCUUACUAUGUCUAGUUACUAUGGACAAUCCACUAAUACUCAUGACAGUCUUGAAUCACUACUUACUUCAAAGAGUAUGAUCAAUUGUAGACAUUUCGAGUAAAUUCAUACUCGGGAAGUGAGUUCCAAACAUGCAAAAGGCGAACACAGUGAUAAGUUAAUUGAAAUGACUGAUCUCCAUCAUAUAUUAAUAUCUCUACUUAAUAAUCAUUAAAUUGAAUUAACACUUAUACAGCUUAAUUUCUCAAGUUUAAAACAAACUAAACUAAGAGUGUUUAAGCCAAUUCAUUUGCAAAUCUAAUGCAUAUCAACUUUUUCUGACUGUCAGACUUGGUAAAUGACAUUGUCUUAUGGGAUGGAUCAACUAUGAUUCUUUGACUAUGAUGUAUUUACAUUUGACUCACUAUCAAAUGUGCUGAAACUUACUGCUUAUGUAUCAUGAGAGCUUGUGUGACUUGGGAUCCAUACUUGAGGUAAUUUCACCCUUAAAGUCACAAGAAAUUUCAAAAGGACCAUUAAUGAUUGAAUUUGAACAAAGAUGUCCCUAAUGAAUCUCUUUUAGUCACAUUGUAUUCUUUGCACUUUAACCAACUACAAUGUAAUACUCUAAGUUUGUUAAAUCCACUAUGGUGUAUUACUUGGUACUCUUCCAAGCUAAUACUUCACCAUUCAGUAAAAGCACAAAUUCCGACUACGAACACAAUCGUCUAUAUCAAUAUGGAACUUAGCAUCAAUGUGAUCUUUACAAUGAUAUCUUCCAUACUAUGAAGAUCCUUUCCAAUGUCCUCCUAGGGCACUUAAUAAAUUUCUUGAUCUUGAGUCAUUGAUUCUUUCCAAAUUGAUCUGAUCCAACUUAUCAUGCUCAAGGCAUAUGAGUCAUCUGAUCUGGUACAUGUCAUAACAUAUAUGAUCAAUCCCUUAGCAGAAGCAUGUCGGACAUGACACAUAACCUCUAGUUCAAUAGUAGAACUCGGACAUUAGCAUCGCUCAAUGUUAUGCCAUAUUUAUUAAGCACGAACCUUUCCAAGUUCUCAAGAUACCAUGUACUUUAGCUUAAUCCAAAGAAUCACUUGGAUCUAUCUCCAUAGAUCUGAUAUUAUGUACGUGUUUUGUAUCUCCCAUGUAUAUCAUAGCAAAACUAUUCCCAUACCAAGCCAAUAUUUUACACUUGCUAAGUCAUAACAUAGUUUCCUAUGAAUCGUACACUAUCUAUAUACAACACAAGGGUGACAACAAUGCUCCCACUAGCACUGACAUAUAUUUGGCUCAUCUAUGUUUCUUGAAAUUCAAACUCCUUGAACUUUCUCAAGGAAACAAAGAUUCCAAUUACUCCCACCAGAUUUGACAUAUGUAUGGCUCAUCUUUAUUUCUCGAAAUCCAAACUCUUUGAACUUUCUCAUUGAAAUAAUGAUCCCACCCGUGAGAUGAUUAUUUUAGUCCAUAAAUAAGCCUAUUAAGCUUAUACAUCCUUCACAACCUAUCUUGGCUUGAUUAUGUGUUUGUUCCUAUUUAUGCUUGUCUCUUCUUGAAGAUCCACUUAUGCCUAAUGGUUAAGUCCAAGUGCUUAAUCUACCAAGUUUCAACAUGCAUGGUCUGGAUUUCGUUUUCCAUGUCUUCCUUCCAUUUUGUAGCCACUAGGGCCUACCACAGCUUCCAAUAGCCAGUAACUCUGAUUACUAUCUACCUGUGACUCAUAUACCUCAAUAAUAUAAACUUAUAUAACUAAAUGUAUGACGUCCUCUAUCAGAUCUAUAAGAAAAAAUGGAAAUAUGUCAGUUUCCUUUAUAGCUCUUUCAAUCCUGAAUUGAAUGUUAUGUACAAGUUUAGGUUCUUUGUUGGUUGAAUCUUGAAUUUUAUCACAAUCAAUAUGGCUCCCACUAGACCUUUUGCAUAUCAGCUCCCUCUAUUGGAAGAUUGCCCUCUGAGUGACAUACACUUUGUUCUCAAAAGGACGUUAAACAACUAUCCAAAAUGCUUGAUGGGUUCUCUAACGAGAUAACACAUCUCUAUUCUAAGUUCUUGAUUGUCGAUCGCUUCAUAACGAUCGUAAGCCAAUUAAUCAUAAACUUACAUAUGUGGAAGUGAGGACUGAAUACCACUUCACAUAUCAUAGAGUGUUUUAUGAACCUUACUAGUUGAUACAAGACCAAAGGACUUCUCGUAACACUAUUCAUGGUACAAUCCAUGAAUUGUUAACAAACAUAGUUUGACUCAUCUAGUACAAAAUCAAUGAAUGAUUUGUUUCUCUAUCCAACUAAAACUCCUAGUGGCAGUGUUCUGGGUGGAUAUAGCUCAUGAGAAUCUUUCACAAGCCCCUAGAUGAUCGAUAAAGUUUGGACUGAGAUUCUCACUAUGAGUGUCUCAUCCUAUUACCCAGUUGAUUCUUAACUUCUCUUUAUGAGAGCUCUGAACACCUGAAAGGUUCCAAACUCACGUUCAUACGAACUUAGUCUUACCUUGUAUCGUGGUAAAUUUGAACGGUCCAUUUGUGCAAACUAAUUCCAAUAGAUAUUCACAUCACCUAGUGAUGUAUUAUUCAUCAUCUAUCUUGAUAAACAAGAUUUGCAUUUAUCAUAAGACUCGACGUCAGAUGAUAUCCAAAUUCUGAUCCAACUGGAUACUUGGUAAUGCAUUUCUCAUUUAUGUAUCCAAGACUACGAUUCCACAUAUACACUUCACCUAAACCAUUUGGACGUAUUUGAAUUAGUACUUAUUAUGAUCAGUCUGAACGAUCCAUUAGUUAAACUAAUUUCAACAUAUAAUUGCACAAUAAUACACCUUAUUCAAACAUUCAAAUCAAGUAUGAACUAUUGUUACUAUACCAGCUUCAUAGAUUUCAUGAGUCUCUUUUAAUAUGUUAGAAUGUUGUACAUUUAAAUAAGUCAGAAUGGUCUCAUGAAACAUUAUACAAACAAUUUGAAUUAUAAGACCAUAGACUAAACAUUUGAUAAGUUGUCUUUUAAUCCUAUGAAUAGUAGCAAGGGCUUGGCAUUCAUGAUCAAACUAUCUUCUUCAUGCUUUAGUCUUCGUACUUCAUUUCAGUCACUGCACAUUCUUGCAAAUGUCAAUACUUAAUCCUUAGAAGUAAUUUUCAAUGGUGUAAUAAAUUCAUAUAUCUUAUUGAGCACCAAACAUGGGAGAACUAGUUAUCUUUUGAUCCAAUGGAUAGUAGCAUGGGCUCGUAAUCCAUGAUCAAAUUACUUUCUCCAUGUUUUAGUCAUUUAACCUCAAAUAUAUAUAUAUAUAUAUANCUUCAAAUAUAUAUAUAUAUAUAUAUAUAUAUAUAUAGGGCAUGUAUACUUUCUUAGUCCUUUCUUGUUAUGGAAACGAAUUUCUAUCAGACCAUGUCUCAGAAUAAGCAUCCAUUUGUCCUUGGCAUUUGGGCCUAGAUUAGGUAUACCGGCACUAAUCGCCUUUUAAUCCAUGGACAAUUGGAUUUCUUCUUCUUGACACUUCUAUUCAUGAUAGUAAAAAUAUGGGAGUGUUUUGAAGUUUGAGUUUCUAUUAUUGGCCACGUUAGUUUCAAAAGGAAACCUCACCAUGCUACACAACUCUUUCAUGGACAUUCCAAGUUGUUCAUAUCAGAAUCAGAGUGAACUGAUUAUAUGUACACGUCAACUAGUUGACUAACCCCAGUCAACUCCUAACUCAAGGAAAUUCCAUUUUUCUUUAAUAUGUCAGUUUACAACGUACACUCAACAAUUGCUCUUUCUAAUAGAUUAGAAUGCAAUGUUUGGGGUAACCUAGGAAAAGCUUUAUCAAAGGUAUAAUUUGUCUUUUUUGUUUGUGAGAACUAUUCCCAAACUACGAAUUCGACAAGAUUGAUCAUCCUCCUAGUUUAUCCUUUCAAAGGUUUUAUAGCAUUAGAUUUUAGUGGAUACGAUUAUAGACAUCAUUCAAUAUCAAUUUCCAUUAUAGUUUGUUUUACCUAUCCUUAGAAAAUAAUCACCCUAAAUAAAAUUAUUUAAGAAGGCUAAGAUCCAUCGGCUUCAUGAUGUGUAAAGGGAUUCCAUAAACACAUCAUAAAGUUAUUUAGAUAGGAAAACCCUUUACCAAUUUUCAUCACCAUGGAAUUUCUAGAACUUUUAGAUUCACUGAUUAUUAAUGGCAUGUUAAUCUCGGACUAUGUUCAUCUCAAAUUCAAUGUUGGGGUCGUCGUGGAUCAAUGAACAGGUGGUGAGUCGACCAUACAAAAUUGUGUCAUCCCCGGCUCAAUGUUACGCUUGAGAUUCACGUACUCACAAAUUGACAUGUCGGUUAACCACACGAGCUCCAUCAACAAGUUAUAAAGAGAAUUUACAACUUUUAUGGAUAACAAAAGAUUCACAUUAAAUAUAUUGUGAAUUAACCAUGCAAAAUGGCAUUGUCCUCGGCUCAAGUUACGCUUAAUAUUCGCAAGUUCCAUUUCAUUCUUAACUAUACUCUAGAUUGAUAUGUCGGUUAACCACACAAGCUCCACCAACAUAAUAUAAAGAGAACGUGCAGUUUUCAUGGAUAAUAUGAAUUUCACAUUCUAUUAAUAAAAUGAGAUUUUGUUUUAUACUUGUAUUUAGAAUACUUUUAUAUUGAUCAUUAUCACUAUCAAACCAUUUCAGUAACUUCAUUCUCAAAAUACAAUAGGGCGGUGAGGGUGGUAAGCACGAAACAUAUUAAAAACCGACCUCAUUAGGAAUCAUAGAGACCUCCUUAGACCCCUACAUCAGAAUGGGUGAGCCUAGUCAUUGUAAGACUGAUAAUGUCAAUACUUAAAACAUACGAGGGCGCAUGUUAUAACUUUCUUAUACAUAUAAUAGACAAAAUUCUAAUAUAUAUAUAAGGGAUAAUUUCAAACUCUUUAGAUUUAGUUGUCUAUUAUUAAUUCCAGUGGAUCUGAUACCACUGUUGGGUUUUCUACACAUCAAAUACACUCUCAACUAGGUAGCAAAAAACUAGAAACUACGAUACACCUAAGUGUACAUGAAACCUAUGGAUCUAUGGUGUCAUGCUAAUUACAUCUACCCUAGAAAACAAAAAUAAAAAGAAAAAAAACAUACCUCUUAUGUAGCCCUUGAUCUCCAUGCUUGAGAUCUUGUCCUCCACGAAAUUGUUUGGAUGAGAGGACCCAAACCAGAAUCCCUCUAAUGGUAUCACACCUAAUGACACCAAAGAGUGGAAUAAAAAUAAGUAGGAUAAGGGUCAGUUUCACAAACCCUAAGAGGUUUAGAAAUCGUCCUAAUAGGGGUAGGAAGAAGAGUUGGCGAAACUUCAAGCAAAUGUGCAAGGAGGAAUGAAAUCCAUAAGGCCCUAUUUAUAGCCUUGCAUCCCUUCCUAGGUUUAGUACUCCUUCCCAUGUAGGACAAGUAUCCUAGAACGAAAUUCACUCCUUUCCCAUGUUGGGUGGAGUGUUUUUCGUCCAACCCAAAUUCAAUAAGGGUUCUAGAAUAUUUAUGAUCAACCAACUAUUGAUAAAUUGAAUAUUCAACCAUUUGAUUAAUUAAACUAUUAAUUGGUUCCCAAAAUAUAUUUCCAAUUAGUUUUUAACUAAUUAUUAACCAUGAUAAUUAAUAAACCAAUUUCUCUUUUAUUUAUUCUACUUAAUUUGGGUUUUAAGGGCAAACCAAAAGGACUCUGCUAUUAUUAGAAAUAUAACCAAUAGUUAAUGACCUUGGACACUCUUUCCAACAAAAAACACACGUUCCAUUUACUCCAUGCUACGUCGUAGGUAUCCUUGCACCACGUUGUGGCACCGGGUUUUUUUUCCCAAAAAUCCAUCUUUGAUCCCUUAUAAAUAGUAAGCUAAAUCAAUAUGGAAUACGGGUGUUACAACUCCCCCCACUAAAAUUAGAUAUUGUCCUCAAAAUCAUUCCUUAAGACUUACUCUGCCACACCUAGCGACCCUACCAGAAUUUCCUGAAUGCCAAUUAGGACUGAGAAGUAGCCUCACACCAACGACCGCAUAUCAACAUUGCUAUUGAAGCCCUAACUUAGCAUACAUCACAUAUCCUGACGAAGAACGAACCUUAACUCUUCGCCUUUGAUAAACCAAUGAAGAUCCAACUGGCCUGCCCGAAAUCAUGAGAACUCUACACUAUUACUGAAUUCCAUGCACACCAAACCAUCUUAUACCACCUCCAUAAUAACUCCACUCUGCAACCCGAACUGAAAGAAUCCCUCCAAAUCUGAAUUAUUACGUUGAUAACUGGACAAUAGAUAUCUUGACCAUUGACUAAUGUCGAUAACCUUGAACCUUAACACAAAGGCGACUCCCACCACAAGCCCCAAAAAUUGGUGCCAAACCAAUACAUAACUCACAUCCUGAUAACCAAAAAUUUACAUGUUCAAUCUAUCUGAGAUCUCCUGAUUUCACGUUGACCUUCCAAUAAACUGGGAUGUAGAAUCUUUACCCGUUUGUUAAGACCGAUAAUCUCAUGCAUGGUCACACAACAAGACUCUACUCUAGAGUCUAACUCAUAAAGGAUACCCUAACCUGUUUGCCACAUGAAUCCAACCCACUGAUCAUUAAGCUUCCCUAUUCCAAACUUUCUCUAAUGCCCCAACCAUGCCAAACACUACCGUGUCCCACCCUUAUGAGUCAUCAACUUACUGCUUUACUAUAUAUCGUGACAUCAUUUAAUCCACUUGAAUGUUAAUAUCGCAUAACACAAUGAUCUUGCCAUCAUUCCGUCACUGGCUUGUGGACUCCCAACCAAUACUUCAUGCCUUGAUUAUAACCUCAAGCUUCUGAAUGAACCAAUCACCAAAGAUAACAUAACCAAAUCGGCCUCGCCCUCAACUAGGAGCUAUCCUAGUCUAACCACUGAUAUAGCUCUAACAGUUCUCCUACCUGAACACGGACCGAUUAAAUAACAAUAACAAGCCUAACUCAACCUGAAUGAAGGUUGUGAUCGCCUCACAGUCUUAUAAUCAUUCGGGCAUCGGUCCAACUCCCCCUAGUGAAUGGUACAACCUAUGUCGUAGACUUACAUUAUUGCCAUAACCACCUACUAGCCUAGUGAAUUCUACGACCACCUCGUAGUCUUACCACACUUCCAUAACUGCCUACCAUCCUAUUGAAUGAUACGACUACCCCGCAAUCUUACAACACUUCCACACCUGUCUACCAACCUAGUGAAUGAUACGGUUACCCUGCAGUCUUACAAAACUUCCACAGCUACCAUGGGCCCAGACCAUGGUCUUGCCAACUCUCCACAAGAAUACCUAACCAAUAUCAAUACGAGCGAAACCCUAGACUGUUAUACCCAAAUAGGAGUUCGAGUCGUGCUUUGAACCCCCAAGACUUCCUCAGACAAGAACACGCAGAUAGAUCCUCACCCGCACCCUGAAUCUAGGUACAAAACCAAAAUAUGUCACUGUCGAUGCUCCAUGUCUUCAGACAAGACAACCUGAUUCCUCAACAUUGCUUUUCUAAUUACAACUAACCAAUGAACAUUAUUCCUUGCAUAAGCUGAUGGGUUUUGAGCAUUCUAACACUCCUAUGGUGUACAUGCAACCCUAGAAACCUUUGAUCUAUGUUUUCUCUAAUAUUCAUGCAAAUAAGAAUUUUCCAAGGUUUACAUCCUAACUAGCAUGGCAUGGGGUACUUGUAAUAUAAAAAAAAAACUAGUAAAAUGACAUACCUUUGUAGUUGCUUAGAUUACUUAAGACUUUGUGAGCCUAGCACCUCAAGUGUGUUGCCUCAAAUGUUUCACACAACACCACAACUCUUGGAAUAACUUGAGAGAAGAACACUUUGAUCACAAAAUCGGCUAGCCCUCCUUGUCUUGCAUUAGUGCCAAUUUUGCUAGCUAUGGAGCUUCUUAUAUAGUGUUCCACAUGUAGGCUUACUCCAUGUAAACCCUAAUGUGCAUGGCUUUUCAUUUCCCCUAUGAUCAAUGGGUUAUAACCUCCAUGGAGCAUCCAUGGAGCACCCAAUCGGUCCUAGCCUAAUCUAGUGAAUCAUGAACCAUAAGCCCACUAUAUAAGAAUGAAUGAUUUACAAAUCAAUCCCCAUAUAUUUAAUUAGUCUCUUUUUUAUCACAAAAUUAAUUCCAAAUUACUUCUUGACCAAUACUAAUUAAAUAAUAUGAUUUCAUAUUAAUAUAUUAGAACUUAUAAUAUAUUAACAAAUUGUAAGUGUCCUUUUCUCAUUUUGUCUAUCCAACAGUUGAGAUGAAGAUGCAACCCAAAUGGACCAUACCAACCGGGUCAAGUACAUACCAGAAAUAGGUAUGGGCUUAGAUACCUAAUCCAGCAUAUGCCUCAACUCAUACAUUGACCAGAACUGGCCAUUCCCUUGCCCUUGGUUAUGAUAUUCCAAGUUGAUCCGCACUUGGAAGUAUUCCCAUUAAUCACAAAUGAAUCUCCCUUACUUAGAUUAGCUACACUCUAACAACUUCAUAACUAUUCAAACUUUCUAGCCAAUCCCAAAACUUCACCCAGUUGGUUCUUAACAUCCAAGCCUAUCAUAAUUGGUCAUACAAGUAUCUAAAUUCCUCAGACAACUUCAAUAGUUUCACUAUAUAACUACAAUCCAUUGAGACAAAACCCUAAAAUUUCCAACUACUAGCUUCAAUCCAUAUCAAUAACAUCCCAACCAUAAAACCUUCUAAAAUCCAAACAAUAUCUCAAACUUAAAUAACCGAACAAAUUCUACAUUUUCUCAACUUAUCGAAUAAAACUUCAUGUUCACAGGAAAACUCCAAAAUUAACCUGAAUGAUAAUAAAGCCACAAUCGGAUUGAAUCCCUUACCAACCUGGCUGAAAUGACAUGCCACAGUUGGUUUCCGCCCAAAUCUGGGGCCUUUCCUGAAAACUGAACAACGCUGCUCCGAACCAUAACCAAGAUUAAAUUAUCUAUCGCUCCCCACUUGAUGAAAGAUCGAUGCACCCGCAACAUCAUCAACCGAUACAACUCGAACACCCUCAAACAAUCUCAACAGCUGAACAAAUCCACGCAAAAAUGCACCACCCACACCAAGAGGUUGAUAGGUUACCACUGCUCUUACCCUACUAAUGAGAGUGAUCGAUUCAACGAGCUAACCGACCCUUCAAAUGACAUCCUACCUAAGCGACACAAGAACCUAUGGACUCUUUAUCCAUUUUCCCAAAAGGGGAAAAUGGAUACAACAAGAUCCUUGCCUAGAAGCCUCCAAUGCAAGGACCACACUCACGUCUCUAAAGGCAUGAACCUGACAGCAACUAUCCUUACACGCGCAGUAUGACCAAUCCUAGAUUAUUUUUCUAUCAUGAAAAAUUCUAACACAUCCAUGGGGAUGCGGCAAGAAUCUUCCCAACUCAGAGCACCUGGAUAGUAUCCCACCAUCCUCCUUCAUGCCGCAACAAAUCACAAGCCCCAAACUCAACAUACUUGCGCUGAAACUCCCUCGGACUCAUUGCACCAAAACCAAAAAUAAUUAGAUCAGCUACUAAUCCUUCAGUAGAGUUUCCAGUUCUCCCCCACUUAGGGUUCAAACUAUCAAUAUAUGACGUUCUAAGACCAGCUCAACCAGAUGUACUCCAAAACAUGACUCUCGGUGUGCAAAAUGGCAUAUGACGAUCCUUUGGGCGAUGACUAAGCAAUCAUAAAAGAACCAUGUACCUUAGUUGACGAUAUCAGAAACUUUCCAACAUCACAACUUCAAACCUAUCAAGAGAAAUCUAUACACCAUUGAUUUAUGAGGCACCCUGAGGACCACACCCUAAUCCAUUAAAAAUUUUAGAGAUCUAAAUAUAGUUAUAACAACCUCACCACACAAAAGGACUUCAUAUCCGGUGGCACAACACUAGCUAAGAACAUACUUAUUCUAGAUAGAAAUAUCAUGACAGAAAUGGAGAUCAAAAUACAUACCAGUGAUUUCUUGAGGCUCGACCUUGACCUCCUACAUAACGAUGGGUUUUGAGGUCUGCACUCCCUUUGCCACCCAUGCAGGACAGUCAGAUUUAAAAUGAGCCAGCUGGUGACAAUGAAAACAUAUCUGAUGCUUUUUACAAUCUGCACAUGCCUUCUUUCUCCACACUUGAAACAUUUGAACUUGUGACAAACAAACCCGUGAGUUCCACCACACUUGCCAAAUAUAUUAAAGUCCCCAUGACUUCCAGUAACUAGGUUAGAUGUAUCGAACUCUCCACCCAUCUCCAACCACAUUGAAUCAUGUGUUUGCCUUCUUUUUCCUUGUUGUGCCUCGACAUCAAGAUCUCAUAUCCUAGUCGCCUCAAUAAUGUCUCCUAUAGUUUGUACGAUUGUAGUCUGCUCUUCGAACUUGACAAUCAGCCUAUCAGUGAUCCGACCAAUGAUACCAGACAACUCUUCCAGAAAAAUCUUUAAAACCUUAGUGACAAUCCAAUCACGUAGUCCUGUGUUGUCCACAUCAAUCUCAGAGGGAUCUACAUCUUGUCGGGUAAUCGACAUUAUGUUGAACAAAUAUAGAACUGACAUCGCAUAAUCAAAGAAUUAUAUUUUUGCUAUAACAGUUACCCGCUAAUCAGAAUCCUUCGCAUCAAUCCUCUACCAACCUCUUAGAAUCUCCAUGAUCCUUCUCGAUUCAGUUAGGAUCCUAUGCUUUCAGUAGUACAGGUCGAAUACUACCUUCCACACCUAUCCAUACUUUCCUCGAGAAUCAUCCCAAAUCCUCUAAGUCACAUCCUUACAAUGAUGCUCCUAAACUGCUAAAUAGCGCCCAAUCGCACUAAAGCACUUACUAGGCUCAUCUAGGACUGCCACCUCACUCUGCCAUUAGCUGUUGAGAAACUCCUACUAAUGUUAGCUAAGUACUUCGUGAAUACAAUUACAUGCAAUAAAACUUAAAUAAUCCUUCAACUAAAAGACCCAACCCUAUAAUGGUUAGACUCAUACGAGAGUUACGCAAUAGAGUCGAAUCAAUCAUUCUAACAUUUUUUAACCUUUGCAGCAUAUAAUUGUACAUAUUUAUUUAAUAGUUAACUCACAUUAGUGUGAGUCCCACAAAGCACAAAGCAAGAACCAUUCGAGCAGUAACACUCAAUAAGUCACAAAAAUACAAAUGCAUCCUUCCUAAUAGGCAUUCUAACAUUCAAACUUGAACAUAUAUGUGACAUCCCCAUUUUUCACGGCCAGAAAAGACCGAUUUUGUUUAUGCUUUGUAAAAAUCAGAGUACUUCUUUUCAUAAAAAUGUUGUGGAAUUUGUUUUCAAAAAAACACAAUAAAUACGUUAUCAAAACAUUUUCGAAUAAACGUAUUUUAUUCAUUUUAAAACGUUUGGGAUGUCAUCGUUAAUAUAGAAACAUAAGCAUAAACAGAACUUACAUUCAUUAUCACUAGUGUUACAUCUCUUUUAAAUCUCUCAGUGUAAUGUGACAUCAUAACAACACCUGAGACAUAAAUAAACUGUGUGGGUCAGGUUGGGAAACCUGAUGAGUACAUAGGGUUUUCAACCCACAAUAAUAUAAUUAUUAUGUUUAAACAAUCAAACAAUCAACCCAAUUACCCAUCCCCAUUAUCUUCUUUAGUCUUAAGGGUCUACCCUAAGAAUCAGCUAUUCCUCAUUUAUUCAUUCCUAAGGAUCAUCCUAAGGAAUAGGUACAAAGUCCAUCGUUACCAAUGUUUAUAGAUUACAACAGGUGAACACGUAGACCAAAACAUCUAGUAAACACUUAGUUCAAAAAUAACCAGUGUAGUUCAAAAUACCUAGUGAACACACUCAAUUCAAAAAUACCUAGUGAACACACCCAGUUCAAAUACCUAGUGAACACACUUAGUUCAAAAAUAUAUAGUGAACACACUUAGUUCAAAAAUACCUAGUGAACACACCCAGUUCAAAUACCUAGUGAACACACUUAGUUCAAAAAUAUAUAGUGAACACACUUAGUUCAAAAAUACCUAGUGAACACACCCAGUUCAAAUACCUAGUGAACAGACUCAAUUCAAAAAUAUAUACUGAACACACUUAGUUCAAAAAUACCUAGUUCAAAAACACCUAUAGAUUACGAGCUUGCUAGCGUUCCACUGGACUGUCUGGUAUCGUCCGUGGUCGUCAUCCAUACUCCACUAGAUGACUGGAACACUGUCAAAAUUGAUGUCUUUCAUCGUGUUAUCACAACUAUUUCAUUUACCCAUGUUUUACCCAACACAUUUUGUAGAUAUAAAAUACAUAUACAGUUUAAAUCAUUUAAAACAUGUAUAAAAAUCUUUCACCCAGCAUAGACAGCAAGUAUUCAAACAAUAUGCACACAUAUCACAUAAUUUAUAUUAAAUACUUCAUAUCUAUGUGUAAGAUGAAAGGGAUCAUGCACUCACCUGAUUAGGUGGUGACUCGGUACUCGCACAACACUUCGUUAUCUCAAAACAAUUUUCCCUCGACAAAACCUAAUAUCAUUACCACUAAAGUUUAGUUUAACGUUAACCGUGACUAAUUAAUAGUCUAGCUAUUAUUACUAUUAUAUAAGCGUUAAACAAUACUUAUAUAGCCCAUAAUAAUAGCCACAAUACUUAUUAUAAGGUCCUAAUAACAUUACUAUGUUGAAACAUAAGCUAUACUAAAGAUAGGGUAGGUACAGCUCACUUACAGCGGGUUUUCUCGAAAACCGGGUUUCGCUGGAGCAGCGUUCCCAAGCCGAAAGGCUCUUUUCUCAGGACUCCAGGAGCCUCGGGGCUUCUUUUAGGUACUAGGGGGUUUACCUAGACUUUAGGGGGCUUAAAGGAGGUUAGAGAGAGAAACUAGAGAGAGAAAGUGAGGUUUGAAGGUGUGAGGAAGUGAGGGAACCCGACACCUCUAUUUAUAGGGGUGCUGACUGAUGGACUCUCCGAGUAGGAGGACCUACUCUCCGAGUUGGGGCAUGUGGCAGCCUUCUGGUGAUGCCACGUGUCCAGUUCUGGUGGUGCCACGUCACCUCCUAUCGCGUAUCAGCCUUCAAACUUAGAAAAAUCAUAACUCUCGCAUACAAGCUCCAUUUUUGACGGUCUUUUUUUCAACGCGUAGGUAAAAACAAGAUCUACAACUUUCAUUUAGACUCCAUUGGCUAAUUCUCGACCAAUCUCAAAUUUAACAGUAUGAGGCGUUUAGACUGUUAAAUGACCGCGAAGAAUUCGUAACUUCUUCAUACGGACUCCGUUUUCGUCUAUCUUUUUACCGUUGAGUUCCUAUUAAUGAGAUCUUCAACUCUCAUUUAGGUCGCGUAAGCCAAAAACCCCUCGAACUAAAUUUAGAGUUUCAGGUCGUGCACUGCUAAGUCGAAUCUUAGAAAAAUCAUAACUUCCUCAUACGAAGUCAGAUUUGGGCGUUCUUUUUAUGGAUGUUCUCGGUUUAACGUAUACUACAACUUUGGUUUAUAUCACCAAGGCUAAAAAUCCCUCCAACAUAAAUUCACUAUUUACCGCUCCCGGUACCGUGUCGGUUUUGCCGAAAAACUUCGACGGGUCAUAACUUCUUCGUUAUAACUUGGAUUUUGGCGUUAUUUAUAUGUAUGGAAACCUUGUAACAUAUACUAAAACUUGGUUAAGAUUAUUUAUUCUAAAUAAUCUUUUUUCAAAAAGUCAUUUUCGACACUUAUUACCUCUAAAUUGACUAGCCCGAUCUACGGGCGUUACAAUAUCCUUAUGCUAACUUCUAGCAUGCAAAACAUAUAACAUAACGACAUGUAUGUGUAUUCUAGGAACCACUUACUUGAGCUCAGAUGAUUACAUGCAUCUCACCCCUUUCUUUGUAAAAGUCUUUUUAGAAAAAAAAAUCUUUCAAAAGAUUACCAAUUCCUCGGUUUGAGUUCAGAUACACCCGAGAGUGUACCCAAAUCCCUCAAACCAAGUCUCUAAUACCAACCUGUAACAUCCCAAAAAUAGUAGAAAUAUGUUUUUUUCGAAAUCAUUGAAUCCAUACAAACAUUUUUUCCAAAACCAAACAGCGCCAAUUGUAUUUAUCAACAUAAGAGUAAAACAUAAAUAAUCAUUGCGGAAAAAGCUGUCAGGGGAUGUUGUGCAGUCAAGUCCUUCCCUUUGGAAGUGGAUGUACCCAAAAAAUAUUAAACCAUAAACUAUAAGUACAAAGCUUAGUGAAUUCCCCCAAAAUACCACAUACCAUACAGGCAUUGCCAUGGGCUACCCCCAUGCUCUUCCCCUAAAAUGGUAUGGGCUGUCCCAUGGUCUUUCCUUGAAAUUUCAUGGGAAACCCUCAUAGUCUAACAUCUAAGUGUCAUGGGUUGCCCUCAUAGUCUUUAAUGCAAAUGUCAUAACUACCCCCCAUGGUCUUUCAAACAAAUGCCACGAGAUGCCCCUGGGUCUUCCAUGCAAGUAUCACAAGGCAACUAGCAUUCUACACGGUAUAGUGAGAAUACUUACCUGACUCAUGAAAUCAGCUAAACCACAACUUAAUUCCCUGAAACAUAUGCUACAACACUCCUAUCAAAACAUACAAGGUCCAAUCUUAAUCUACACCUUGAAUCCAACAAUCUUGACCAAAAGUUAACCCAGGUCAACAAGUCAACAACCAAAGGUCAAUCCUCAAAUUCAACAUCCCAUAAAUUACCUCAGUGAGUCGCCAUGUCGUGGCCUCCAUUGGCCAUGUCGUGGCAGCAUAAAGACAAAACAGUCGAGUAGCCUCCCAGACGCCGUUGCGUGGCCGCCAAAGUGCCAUGGUAUGGUAACUAGGUCUUAACAACUUAAUUGAUCAAACUGUUUUCUUUGUCCUUAAGAGCUCCAAAGCUUUGAUCUAACAUGUCACUACAACACAAUAGCAUGCAUAACAUGAUAUAAAUCCAAAGGGUCGGCAUUGGUGCCUUCGAUCUGCAAAUACAGUCAGGAAAACUCACCUCACAAAUUGAACAAAAGCUGAUGAGGUCUUGAAUCUAAAUCUCAAUUCUCUAACCGACAACUAUUCCCAUCAAAUGACCAAUUUCCAUCAAAAUACCAAAAUACCCUUAAGGUCAAACUUGGUCAAAGUCAAAGUCAACUAUCCUCACGUCGUGGCCAGGCGUUGGUCACAUUGUGACAGCAAACCCGAUCCGUUUCCCACUCGACUCGAACCAAACUGGUCAACUCAGCCAAAGAAACCACCCGAGUUAGCAACACAACAUGAACACCCAUUAUCGCGUCAUAAGCCCCAAGGGUUCCAAUAGAAACGGGACAGCUCUGAUUCUCACGUCAUGGGAUCUAACACCUCAUGUCGUGAGUAUUGUCUGAGGCUAAGUGUCACCAUUUUAAGUCCUUAAUCCAUUAAGUCUUUGAUUCCAUUUCAUCCAGAAGCUAAAGGAGACCCCUAAGGUCCAUAAAAAUGUUUAUUUUAUGGCCAUGCAUGCACCAAACAUGAUCAUCCAUUUUCUAGGUCAAAAAGGGAAUAAAUGAGCCUCAAACUUGCAUGCAUGCCUCAACUCUAAACCAACUUCUAGAUCUGAACGCUAUAAUGCUCUUGGAACUCUUAGAAUCCAUAAAGUUGCCAACUUUAUGGAUCUACUCCACUCAAUCAUGCAAUAACAUCAACAAAAUGAACAAAACUCAAGAUCUAUCCAUGAUAAGCAAUAAAGUUGGGUCCUUUGAUACUUACAAGGACCCAAAAGCAGGCAAAGAUGAUGAUGAUGCUAAUUCUUUGUCCACACCAAAACUAGAGCACUUCCUUCUUCUUCUGUUCUUCUUCCCACAAGCUAGAAAUGAACCCAAAUGACAAAGCAUCUUAAGAAGGAUGAAGAUUAGGAUUAUUGGAGGUCAAGAGAGUAAGGGAGGCUGAGGGUGAGAAACCCUAGCAAUCUCAUUCCUUUAGAUACCGAAAACUUAAGAGUUUUUUUGUCACCAGUCGCCGUCACGUCGUGAGCCUUAAAAUAAAGCACGAGUCCUUAUUACUCUUCACGACAUGAUAAUGCAUUCCUCACAUCGUGAGAAUGGAAAAAAAAAAGGAAACUUUAACUUUACAAUAUGGAAGGUAAUAUGCACUUGAUCCGGGUGUUACAAUUCUACCCCACUUGAAUUAGACUUCAUCCUCGAAGUCAACUACUACGAAAAACUCCGGGUAAUGCUCCCGCAUCUCAGCCUCCGGCUCUCAGGUCCAUUUGGAGCCUCUCCAAUGCUACCACUUCACCUUUACCAAAGGUAUCUCCUUGUUGUGAAAAGCCUUCAUCUUCCUUUCUAGAAUAGCUAUCAGCCUCUCAACAUAGUUCAGAUGAUCAUCGGCCUGAAUAUCGUCCAAGGAAAUUACUGCCUCAUCAUCCAAUACGCACUUUCGCAACUAUGAAACAUGGAAAGUGUUGUGAAUCUGGUUGAGCUCCUUAGGUAGAUCCAACCUGUAUGCAACCUUACCAACCUUGGCAAUCACCCGAAAAGGCCCAACAUACCAGGGACCCAACUUCCCCCUCUUCCUGAAGCGUACCACGCCUUUCCAAGGCGAGACCUUUAGUAAUACCAUAUCACCGACCUGAAACUCCAACUUGGAUCGGCGCUGGUCGACAUAACUAUUUUGCCGACUCUGAGUCAUCUGCACUCUCUGAUUGAUCUGUUUCCCAUAACCCUGUAACCAAACUCCCCCCCAACAAAAUUGGGGUACGGCAUCUCCGACCAUACAAGAGCUCAAAAGGCGGAGAACCAAUGCUAUAGUGAUAACUUUUGUUGUAGGAGAACUCCGCAAGAGGUAGGUAGGAAUCCUAGCUCCCCCAAAAAUCAAUAAUACAGACUCGCAACAUAUCCUCAAGAGUCUAUAUGGUCCACUCACUCUGCCCAUCAAUCUGCGGAUGAUAUGUAGGGUUGAAAUGCAACCUCGUGCCCAGUUCCUCAUGGAACUUCUUCCAGAAAUGGGAAGUGAACCGAAAAUCACGAUCUGAAACAAUGGAGUAUGGAACCCCAUGACGAUCAAUUAUCUCCCUAACAUACACAUCGGCUAACUUUUCAGCCGAAGAUCUCUCCCGAAUAGCCAAAAAGUGGGUACUCUUGGUCAAUCAAUCCACAAUGACCCAUAUAGCAUCAAAGCCCUUUGCCGUCUUCGACAACUUGGUGAUAAAAUCCAGCGUGAUCUACUCCCAUUUCCACAUGGGAACCUCCAGAGGCUGCAGCUUGCCAUGCGGCCUUUGAUGCUCAGCCUUGACCAUCCUGCAGGUCAAGCAUCUCUCAACAUACCAGGCGAUAUCCCUCUUUAUACACGGCCAAAAUUAACUAAAUCUCAAAUCUCGAUAAAUCUUCAUGGCCCCCACGUGAAUAGAAAAACAAGACUGAUGAGCCUCCUCCAACACAAUCUGCCUGAUCCCACCCGAAACUGGAACCCAAACCUGACCACACCGGGUAAAUAACCCUCGACUAUUCGUAACAAAUCUAUCAAUCUCACCUCUGAUCCUCUCUUGUUUCCAAUUCUCAUUCUGAACUCCCUCAACUUGAGCCUCCCUGAUCAAACCCAAAAGUUGAGAAUCAAUCGUUAUCCGCAUACACAUCUCCUUGAAGAAGAUCCAACCGAAUUGUGACUCAAAGCAUCCGCUGCCACAUUUGCUUUACCCGAAUGGUAAAGGCUCUCACAGUCAUAAUCCUUGACUACGUCCAGCCACCUGCACUGCCUUAUGUUCCGGUUCAGUUGAUCCAUAAGAUGUCUCAAACUCUUGUGAUCCGUGUAGAUAGUAAAAUGGACCCCAUAUAGAUUGUGCCUCCAAAUCUUGAGGGCGAACACCACUACCCCUAACUCUAGAUCAUGCGUGGGAUAUCGAGUCUCAUGCGGCUUCAACUGCCGCGAAUCAUAAGCAAUCACUCGUUCUCUCUGCAUGAGGACUGCCCCUAAACCGGUGAUGGAUGCAUCAAAGAAUACCACAAAAUCCUCAACUCCCUCUAGGAGGGUCAAUAUCAAGGUCUCACAUAAUCUCUGUUGAAGAGUCUCAAAUACCGACUGUUGCUCAGGGCCCUAUCGGAAAUCCACCCCCUUCCUCGUCAGACAAGUGAGGGUACCGCAAUCUUGGAGAAAUCCUGAAUGAAUCUCCGAUUGUACCCUGCCAAACCUAAGAAACUCCUGAUCUGAGGGAGAUUUCAGAACCUCCCACUGCAUCACAACCUCAAUCUUGGCUGGAUCGACCAAAAUCUCAUUAUAGUUAACGAGGUGCCCUAGGAACUGGACCUCUCGUAACCAAAACUCGCACUUCGAGAACUUGGCAUAAAGCUGCUCCCUCCUCAAACCCCUAAAAGCUCUCGAAGGUGCUCCUCAUGCUGCUCUCUGGUCUUGGAAUUCACCGAUCUAACAAAUCACUACAGCACAAUAGCAUGCAUAACAGGAUAUCAAUCCAAAGGGUUGGCAUUGGUGCCUUCGGUUUGCAAAUACAGUGUGGAAUACUCACCUUAUAAACUGAACAGAAGCUGAUGAGGUCUUGACUCCAAAUCUCAGCUCUCUAACCGACACCUAUUAUUACCAAAUGACCAAUUUCCCUCAAAAUCCCAAAAUACCCUUAAGGUUAAACUUGGUCAAACUUAGUCAAAGUCAAAUUCAACUAUCCUCACGUCAUGGCCAGACAUUGAUCAUGUCAUGACAGCGAACCCGUUCUGUUUCCCAUGCAACUCGACUCAAACUAGUCAACUCAGCCAAAGAAACCACCCAAGCUGGCAUCACGAUGUAAGCACCCAUUCUCACAUCGUAAGCGCCAAGGGUUCUAACAGAAACAGGAUUACUCCGAUUCUCAUGUCGUAGGAUCUAACACCUCAUGUCGUGAGCAUUGUCUGAGGCUAAGGGUCACCAUUUUAAGUCCUUGAUCCAUUAAGUCUUCGAUUCCACUUCACCCAGAAGCUAAAGGGGAUCCUUAAGGUCUAUAAAAAUGUUUUCUUUAUGGCCAUGCAUGCACCAAACAUGAUCAUCCAUUUUCUAGGUCAAAAAGGGAAGAAAUGAGCCUCAAACUUGCAUACAUGCCUCAAAUCUAAACCAACUUCUAGAUCUGAACACUAUAAUGAUCUUGGGACUCUUGGAAUCCAUAAAGUUGCCAACUUUAUAGAUCUACUCCACUCAAUCAUGCAAUAACAUCACUAAAAUGGAAAAAACUCAAGAUCUAUCCAUGAUAAGUAAUAAAGUU